ensembl:miRNA
UUGGGGACGGGGUGUCUUUGGGAGUCUUGGGGGCUACCGACCCCCUGUGACACGCCCGCUCCCAG